UACGAAGGGGCUAGCGUUGCUCGGAAUUACUGGCGUAAAGCGCACGUAGGCGGAUUGUUAAGUCGGGGUGAAUCCUGGAGCUCAACUCCAGAACUGCCUUCGAUACUGGCGAUCUCGAGUUCGGAGAGGUGAGUGAACUGCGAGUGUAGAGGUGAAUUCGUAGAUAUUCGCAAGAACACCAGUGGCGAAGGCGGCUCACUGCCGAUACUGACGCUGAGGUGCGAAGCGUGGGAGCAAACAGG
rnacentral:rRNA from 1 species